CGAAUGCUGACGUGAGUAACGACAAAACGGGUGAAAAACCCGUUCGCCGAAAGACCAAGGGUUCCAGUCCAACGUUAAUCGGGGCUGGGUGAGUCGACCCCUAAGGCGAGGCCGAAAGGCGUAGUCGAUGGGAAAAUGGUUAAUAUUCCAUUACUUCUGUGUAAUGCGAUGAGAGGACGGAGAAGGCUAAAUCAGCCUGGCGUUGGUUGUCCAGGUGAAAGGAUGUAGGCAUGUAUCUUAGGCAAAUCCGGGGUACUCUAUGCUGAGAUCUGAUAGCAAGCUGUACUUGUACAGCGAAGUGGUUGAUGCCAUGCUUCCAGGAAAAGUCUCUAAGCUUCAGUUACACAGGAAUCGUACCCGAAACCGACACAGGUGGUCAGGUCGAGUAGACCAAGGCGCUUGAGAGAACUCUGCUGAAGGAACUAGGCAAAAUGGUACCGUAACUUCGGGAGAAGGUACGCUGUUGUUGGUGAUGGAACUCGCUUCCUGAGCUGACGACAGCCGCAGAAACCAGGCCGCUGCAACUGUUUAUUAAAAACAUAGCACUCUGCAAACACGAAAGUGGACGUAUAGGGUGUGAUGCCUGCCCGGUGCUGGAAGGUUAAUUGAUGGGGUUAGCGUAAGCGAAGCUCUUGAUCGAAGCCCCAGUAAACGGCGGCCGUAACUAUAACGGUCCUAAGGUAGCGAAAUUCCUUGUCGGGUAAGUUCCGACCUGCACGAAUGGCAUAAUGAUGGCGGCGCUGUCUCCAGCAGAGGCUCAGUGAAAUCGAAAUCGCUGUGAAGAUGCAGUGUACCCGCGGCUAGACGGAAAGACCCCGUGAACCUUUACUGCAGCUUGACACUGAACUUUGACCUUACUUGUGUAGGAUAGGUGGGAGGCUUUGAAGCUGGAACGCUAGUUCCAGUGGAGCCGUCCUUGAAAUACCACCCUGGUAAUGUUGAGGUUCUAACUCUGUCCCGUGAUCCG
rnacentral:rRNA from 1 species